rnacentral:lncRNA from 1 species
CUGCCUGCCGCGGCCUCCCAAAGUGCUGGGAUUACAGGAGUGAGCCACCGCACCCAGCCAUCCUUUGGAUCUUUCUAAGCAUUCACUCAUCAGGUUUCAUAUUCUCUUUUGAUUUAUAUCCCAUAUGCCAACGUUAGCAAAAGUUACUAUUAUAAGAUAAUUUGUCAUUUGAAUAAGGCACAGAUAGCUAUUUAGUUUUAAGGCUGGACAGACAGAUUCAAGGAAAUCGGAUUGAAUGUGAAAUCAGGAUGAAAGUGAAAUGAGAAGGUGCGUUUAAAAGGAACUUGAUAAAAGUACAACCUCUUCUUAUUGGGUUUGAUAUUUCAUGGGGAUUUAUAAGUGGGAUAAGGGUGAUUCUGACCAUAUUCUCCAUAUUCUUAAUGUGGACUCUUAGUCAAAUGUUGAGUGCUCAAAUGCCAUCCCUUGAAAUCUAUGUGCCUGAUUGCAGGCAGCCUUUCCUUCCUCCCACUUUCCACGUUAAUCCACUCAGCUCCUAAGGCUUGAUGGGCCUGACCCUGCUUUGAGUGUGCACAAGUGACCAAGCCUGACCAAUCAGAGUCCUUCAACUCUUCCAAAUACGCAGAGUGGUUCAGGGAUUGGCACAUGAUGCAGCCAAUCAGAGUCUUUCCUGGAACUUUUGUUGGCGUUAUUAGGAAACAGGCUCACCUUUUUAUCUGCGAUUAUGAGCCACGGAAGCAACUGAUGAUAAAAUCAAGAUGAACAGCAGAGCUAAGGUGAAUUUGGAGGAGCUAGCCACUGACAGGAAGGAGGAAGGCGCUCCAUACAGCAAAUGAAAUUCAGAACUCUGGCCAGCCCAUCGAGAAGAGGGUAACAGGCCUGCUGGGACAAGUUGAGAGAAGACGAAUGAAGUGAGGACGCUGCACACCAUAAUCUGAAAUAGUCCUAGCGGUGGAAAAGAAGCAGCCUGCAGACGAGGCGGGCAGUGGGAAGGUGCGCCUGCAGGAGGGAGCACCUUAUGGGGCUGGGCAACUCACUGAGAAAUGAUUCUGUCAUAGACAUGUGUGUAUUUCUUCUGAUAGUUAUGCUCUGGAUCAUCAGAAAAAUACAAAGGCAUAGCCACAAUUCAUACUAGUGGAGAGACCUCAACAGAGAUGGACCCACCCAAGCCUAGCUUGGAACUUGGACUCGGAUGGAACUUGGACUGCACAGACUGUGUGGCCCCACCCACUGGGGUUGAGGCUUCAAUAUAUGAAUUUCAGGGGGACACAUUUCAACCCAUAACUGCUUAAGAUGAGGCUCACAGGCUGGACUGAGGACUCCUCUCAGGGUGCAGCACAUAGGAAAC